rnacentral:rRNA from 1 species
UGAGGAAUAUUGCGCAAUGGGGGCAACCCUGACGCAGCGACGCCGCGUGAGUGAGGAAGGCCUUCGGGUCGUAAAGCUCUGUCAAAGGGAAAGAAGUGUGCAAUGGCUAAUACCUGUUGCAUUUGACGGUACCCUUAAAGGAAGCACCGGCUAACUCCGUGCCAGCAGCCGCGGUAAUACGGGGGGUGCAAGCGUUGUUCGGAAUUAUUGGGCGUAAAGAGCGUGUAGGCGGCUGAAUAAGUCAGAUGUGAAAUCCCUGGGCUUAACCCAGGAAGUGCAUUUGAAACUAUUCAGCUUGAGUAGGGGAGAGGAGAGCGGAAUUCCAGGUGUAGCGGUGAAAUGCGUAGAUAUCUGGAAGAACACCAGUGGCGAAGGCGGCUCUCUGGCCUAGAACUGACGCUGAAGCGCGAAAGCGUGGGGAGCGAACA